UACGUAGGGGGCAAGCGUUGUCCGGAUUUAUUGGGCGUAAAGAGCGUGUAGGCGGCCAGACAGGUCCGUUGUGAAAACUCGAGGCUCAACCUCGAGACGCCGAUGGAAACCGUUUGGCUAGAGUCCGGAAGAGGAGAGUGGAAUUCCUGGUGUAGCGGUGAAAUGCGCAGAUAUCAGGAAGAACACCCGUGGCUAAGGCGGCUCUCGAGUACGGUACUGACGCUGAGACGCGAAAGCGUGGGGAGCGAACAGG
rnacentral:rRNA from 1 species